rnacentral:rRNA from 1 species
AACUAUAACGGUCCUAAGGUAGCGAAAUUCCUUGUCGGGUAAGUUCCGACCUGCACGAAUGGCAUAAUGAUGGCGGCGCUGUCUCCAGCAGAGGCUCAGUGAAAUCGAAAUCGCUGUGAAGAUGCAGUGUACCCGCGGCUAGACGGAAAGACCCCGUGAACCUUUACUGCAGCUUGACACUGAACUUUGACCUUACUUGUGUAGGAUAGGUGGGAGGCUUUGAAGCUGGAACGCUAGUUCCAGUGGAGCCGUCCUUGAAAUACCACCCUGGUAAUGUUGAGGUUCUAACUCUGUCCCGUGAUCCGGGACGAGGACCGUGUCUGGUGGGUAGUUUGACUGGGGCGGUCUCCUCCUAAAGAGUAACGGAGGAGUACGAAGGUGCGCUCAGCGU